rnacentral:rRNA from 1 species
UACGUAGGUGACGAGCGUUAUCCGGAUUUAUUGGGCGUAAAGCGCACGCAGGCGGCAGAGAAAGUCUGACGUGAAAUCUCCCGGCUUAACUGGGAGCGGUCGUUGGAAACUACCUGGCUUGAGGCGAUGAGAGGGGUGUGGAAUUCCCGGUGUAGUGGUGGAAUGCGUAGAUAUCGGGGGGAACAUCAGUGGCGAAAGCGGCACCCUGGCAUUAGCCUGACGCUCAUGUGCGAAAGCGUGGGGAGCGAACGGG